GGGGUAGCAAUACCCAGUGGCGAACGGGUGCGUAACACGUGAGGAACCUGUCCAACGGCGGGGGAUAGCCGGCCCAACGGCCGGGUAAUACCGCGUACGACCUUCGAGGGGCAUCCCUUGAUGGUGAAAGCAGCAAUGCGCCGAUAGAGGGCCUCGCGGCCUAUCAGCUAGUUGGUGAGGUAAUGGCUCACCAAGGCGACGACGGGUAGCUGGUCCGAGAGGAUGACCAGCCACAUUGGGACUGAGACACGGCCCAGACUCCUACGGGAGGCAGCAGUGGGGAAUAUUGCGCAAUGGGCGAAAGCCUGACGCAGCGACGCCGCGUGUGGGAUGACGGCCUUCGGGUUGUAAACCACUGUCGGGAGGGACGAAAUCAAUGACGGUACCUCCAAAGGAAGCACCGGCUAACUCUGUGCCAGCAGCCGCGGUAAUACAGAGGGUGCGAGCGUUGUCCGGAAUUACUGGGCGUAAAGGGCGCGUAGGCGGCCCGGUAAGUCGGGGGUGAAAGUCAGCGGCUCAACCGCUGGACUGCCUUCGAGACUGUUAGGCUUGAGCAUGGUAGAGGCUGGCGGAAUUCCCGGUGUAGCGGUGGAAUGCGUA
rnacentral:rRNA from 1 species